AUGCGGACGACAUGUGUACUGGCU
rnacentral:siRNA from 1 species